AAUCGAAUGACUCUCGGCAAUGGAUAUCUCGGCUCUUGCAUCGAUGAAGAACGUAGUGAAAUGCGAUACUUGGUGUGAAUUGCAGAAUCUCGUGAACCAUUGAGUCUUUGAACGCAAGUUGUGCCCGAGGCCUUGUGGCCGAGGGCACGCCUGCUUGGGCGUCAUGG
rnacentral:rRNA from 1 species